ACCACCACUACAAUAACCACGUCAGAGGCAGAAAACUAAAGCACCGUCGUAUCGCACAUUUGAGUCGUUCGUUGUCCGCAGGCCAGAAGGGUCGUGCCCACGAUUGUGCGUGAUAGUGCCAGUGAUAAAUCCACGUUCUCGGGUGCCAGUGGAAAAGGGCACGCCGACACCAUUGAAAAAUCCUCCUGGCAACUAUUUGCAGCGUUUCCGAAUAGGAACAAUCAGUUUGAUUGAUUGGGACACGUGGCCCACUACCUCCGGAUUCGUACUGGAAAUAAGUAUCACGGAUAGGGACGCAUGCGACACUUUCCCGCUGACGACCUUACUAUAGCCUGCAGCGAAACGGGCAUUUGCAACUACGGAAAUAAGUGCCAGUAGCAUCGUGCACUCGGCGAAUAACGAGUUUCCGCAUCAAUCCGAACCGGUUGGUCAAAAAGGUCGGCGUCAGUGUCUAAUUGACUGCGAGACGGAAAAUACCCCGAAAGGGGUGUUUUUUUAGACAGCUGCAGCCCGGAUUCGAUUAGCGGUGAGGCUCUGCCAGAAGCGGACCGUAACGAGGCAGUGAUCUCCACGAGAGCAGGAAGGCUAAGAACGGGACAGCCCGGGAAGCGUGGCAUCGACAAGCGGUCAUUCGGUCCUGCGUUUGUGAAGGAGCCCAACGAGACCAGACGGGAAUUCGAGGCUUGUUCUCGCGCCACGACCACGCGCGGCGAGCGCAAGGCGGACGGAUCGUUUCCCGCCAACCGACGAGCCGAAGAAUCGGCCAAUGUUGUCAUGUUGCCACUGCCGACAUGGUCAAGGGGAUGCGGCGUAGGUUUAGCGUAAGCUCCGGUACCGUGAGUAACAAUCCCUUAGUCUUAAGACAAAGAAAAUGUUAUCUUGGUUCAAGGAACCACCAUUUGCUAGGGAAAGCAUAGGGACAUAAAAUGUGCGUUUCAAUACACUGAUGUUAAGCUAAAA